GGAGUCCAGCGUGCGCGCGAGUCAAUGGGCUUAAUACUAAACCUAAAGGCGUAAUGAAAGUGAAGGCGCGCUCUGCGCGCGCUUAGGGAAGAUGGGCGAGUCACGCUCGCCUCGCAUUCCCGGGGCGUCCCUUUUUCGUUUACGAAAAUGGGCGCACCUAGAGCGUGCGCGCUGGGACCCGAAAGAUGGUGAACUAUGCCUGGUCAGGACGAAGUCAGGGGAAACCCUGAUGGAGGUCCGUAGCGAUUCUGACGUGCAAAUCGAUCGUCGGAACUGGGUAUAGGGGCGAAAGACUAAUCGAACCAUCUAGUAGCUGGUUCCUUCCGAAGUUUCCCUCAGGAUAGCUGGCGCACACAUGCGAGUUUCAUCCGGUAAAGCGAAUGAUUAGAGGCAUUGGGGACGAAACGUCCUCAACCUAUUCUCAAACUUUAAAUGGGUGAGAACUUCGGCUUUCUUAAAUUUUUAAUUUUGAAGCCGCAAGUAUCGAAUCCGUGUGCCAAGUGGGCCAUUUUUGGUAAGCAGAACUGGCGUUGUGGGAUGAACCAAACGUAGAGUUAAAGCGCCCAAGUGGACGCUUAUUAGAUACCAUGAAAGGCGUUGGUAACUUAAGACAGCAGGACGGUGGCCAUGGAA
rnacentral:rRNA from 1 species